GAUGAACGCUGGCGGUGGGCCUAAUACAUGCAAGUCGAGCGAACGGACGAUAAGCUUGCGUCCUUGAGGUUAGCGGCGGACGGGUGGGUAAGACGUGGAUAAGCUACUUAUUAGACGGGGAGAACUUCGUAAAGCCGCUGCUAAUACCGGAUAAUAUUUUGAACCGCAUGAUUCAAAAGUUCAAGACGCCUUUGCUGUCACUUAUAGAUGGAUCCGCGCUGCAUUAGCUAGUUGGUAAGGUACCGGCUUACCAAGGCAACGAUGCAUAGCCGACCUGAGAGGGUGAUCGGCCACACUGGAACUGAGACACGGUCCAGACUCCUACGGGAGGCAGCAGUAGGGAAUCUUGCGCAAUGGGCGCAAGCCUGACGGAGCAACACCGCGUGAGUGAAGAAGGUCUUCGGAUCGUAAAACUCUGUUAUUAGGAAAGAAAAUAUGUGUAAGUAAAUGUGGAUAUCCUGGCGGUACCUAAACAGUAAGCACCGGCUAACUACGUG
rnacentral:rRNA from 1 species